rfam:Stegodyphus mimosarum contig37723, whole genome shotgun sequence.
GCCUUCGUGCUGUAAUGGUCAGCACACUGAGCCGGUAUUUCAGAGGUCCGCGGUUCGAUUCCCGGCGAAGGCG